UACGUAGGGUGCGAGCGUUGUCCGGAAUUAUUGGGCGUAAAGAGCUCGUAGGCGGUGUGUCGCGUCGGCCGUGAAAACCUGGGGACUCAACUCUGGGCGUGCGGUCGAUACGGGCAUCACUUGAGUUCGGCAGGGGGAGACUGGAAUUCCUGGUGUAGCGGUGAAAUGCGCAGAUAUCAAGGAGGAACACCGGUGGCGAAGGCGGGGUCUCCUGGGCCGAAUACUGACGCUGAGGAGCGAAAGCAUGGGUAGCGAACAGG
rnacentral:rRNA from 1 species